GCAAGAUACCACGGGCGCACGGCGGAUGCCUUGGCACAGGGAGCCGAUGAAGGACGCGGCAAGCUGCGAUAAUCCCCGGCGAGGAGCACACAUCCUUCGACCCGGGGGUCUCCGAAUGGGCGAACCCAUCCACAGCAGUGUGGAUAUCCCCACCCCGAACACAUAGGGGCGGGGAGGACAACCCGGGGAACUGAAACAUCUAAGUACCCGGAGGAGAGGAAAUCAAUCUCGAGACUCCCCGAGUAGCGGCGAGCGAAAGGGGACCGAUGGCCAAACCGUCGAGCGGGCAUACCCGGCAGGGGUUCCGCCGACGGGGUUGCAGGGCCGCGCAUCCGGGGGCUGCCGCCCCCGGGCGCAGGUCCGGCUGGGGAGCGGAACGGCAUGGGAGGGCCGGCCGCAGCGGGUGACAGCCCCGUACGCGAACCCAGACCGGACGGCGCGACGCGGUCCCUGAGUAGGGCCGGGCACGUGAAACCCGGUCCGAACCUGGGUGGACCACCAUCCAAGCCUGAGUACUACCCUGUGACCGAUAGCGCACCAGUACCGUGAGGGAAAGGUGAAAAGCACCCCGGGAGGGGAGUGAAACAGUACCUGAAACCGUGCGCCCACGAGCAGUCGGAGCACCUUUAUGGUGUGACGGCGUGCCUUUUGUAGAAUGAGCCAGCGAGUCGCUGGCGCGGGGCGAGGUUAACCGAAAGGGAGCCGGAGCGAAAGCGAGCCUUAACAGGGCGACUUGAGUCCCGCGCCGCGGACGCGAAGCCGGGUGAGCUAUCCGUGGGCAGGCUGAAGCGGGGGUAAGACCCCGUGGAGGGCCGAACGCACGUCGGUUGAAAACGGCGGCGAUGACCUGCGGAUAGGGGUGAAAGGCCAAUCAAACCCGGAGAUAUCUCGUUCUCCCCGAAAUAGCUUUAGGGCUAGCGUCGCGCGUUCACCGCCGGAGGUAGAGCACCGGAUGGACGAGGGGGCUUCGCCGCCUACCGAAUCCAACCGAACUCCGAAUGCCGGCGGCCCAGAGCGCGGCAGUCAGAGCAUGUGGGCUAAGCUGUGUGCUCGAGAGGGAAACAGCCCGGACCGCCCGCUAAGGUCCCCAAGUUCCAGCCGAGUGGCAAAGGAUGUGCGUCCGCCCAGACAACCAGGAUGUUGGCUUAGAAGCAGCCAUCCAUUCAAAGAGUGCGUAACAGCUCACUGGUCGAGUGGACAUGCGCCGACAAUACACGGGGCUAAGCUGGACACCGAAGCGGCGGGAUUUUAAUUCAUUAGAAUCGGUAGGGGAGCUUCCCAUGGGCGGAGAAGCCGGAGGGCGACCGACGGUGGAGCGCAUGGGAGUGAGAAUGCUGGCAUGAGUAGCGAGAGACGAGAGAGUAACUCGUCCGCCGUGAACCCGAGGUUUCCUGGGCAAGGCUAAUCCUCCCAGGGUCAGUCGGGGGCUAAGGCGAGGCCGGGAGGCGUAGCCGACGCGCAGCAGGCAGACAUUCCUGCACCGCGCACGCGGCGCUACGACCGACGGGGCGACGGAUGGGGGUGGCUCGGCGGGGUUCUGGACGUCCCCGUGAUGGAGCGCGGCCCGCGGACCAGGGAAAUCCGGUCCGCAGAAGGGCGAGGCUCCGGACGAAGCACUUAAGCGAAGCGAGUGAGCCCGAGGUCCCUAGAAAAACCCCUAGGCAGGCGCGUGCGCGCCCGUACCGCAAACCGACACAGGUGGGUGGGUAGAACAUACCGAGGCGAUCGGGUCAACCAUGGUCAAGGAACUCGGCACAAUGGCCCCGUAACUUCGGGAGAAGGGGUGCCCGCGCGUACGUGAACCGGCUCGCCCGGGGAGCGGAGGCGGGCCGCAGUGGAGAGGCCCAAGCGACUGUUUACCAAAAACACAGGACUCUGCAGAAGCCGCAAGGCGACGUAUAGGGUCUGACGCCUGCCCGGUGCCGGAAGGUCACGCGGAGGAGUUAGCCGCAAGGCGAAGCCCCGAAGCCAAGCCCCGGUAAACGGCGGCCGUAACAAUAACGGUCCUAAGGUAGCGAAAUUCCUUGUCGGGUAAGUUCCGACCUGCACGAA
rnacentral:rRNA from 1 species